rnacentral:rRNA from 1 species
GUAAAGGGUUCGUAGGCGGACUGAUAAGUUGGAAUUGAAAGACCACGGCUUAACCGGGGGAACGGUUUCAAUACUGUCAGUCUUGAGUGAGGUAGAGGUAAGCGGAAUUCCUGGUGUAGCGGUGAAAUGCGUAGAUAUCAGGAGGAACAUCAAAGGCGAAGGCAGCUUACUGGGCCUAUACUGACGCUGAGGAACGAAAGCGUGGGGAGCAAACAGGAUUAGAGACCCUGGUAGUCCACGCCGUAAACGAUGAGUACUUAGUGAUGGGGGAUUCGACCCCUUCAUUGCUGGAGCUAACGCAUUAAGUACUCCGCCUGGGAACUACGACCGCAAGGUUGAAACUCAAAGGAAUUGACGGGGACCCGCACAAGCGGUGGAUCAUGUGGUUUAAUUCGAUGCAACGCGAAGAACCUUACCUAGGCUUGACAUGUUAGUGAAAACUCUGUGAAAGCAGAGCUCUCUGCGAGCUUGCUCAAAGACACUAUCACAGGUGAUGCAUGGCUGUCGUCAGCUCGUGUCGUGAGAUGUUCGGUUAAGUCCGAUAACGAGCGCAACCCCUAUUCUUAGUUGCCAGCACGUAAUGGUGGGGACUCUAAGAAAACUGCCCGGGAUAACCGGAAGGAAGGUGGGGUCGACGUCAAGUCAGUAUGUCCCUUACGCCUAGGGCUACACACGUGAUACAAUGGGAAGUACAAAGGGUUGCAAUACCGCGAGGUGGAGCCAAUCCCAAAAAACUUCCCCAAGUUCAGAUUGCAGUCUGCAACUCGACUGCAUGAAGCAGGAAACGCUAGUAAUCGUGGAUCAGAACGCCACGGUGAAUACGUUCCCGGGUCUUGUACACACCGCCCGUCACGCCAUGGAAGCCGGUAGUGCCCAACGCCAGUGUCCCAACCUUCGGGAGGGAGC